rnacentral:rRNA from 1 species
CGGGUGAGUAACGCGUAGAUAAUCUGCCUUAGACUCUGGGAUAACAUCUCGAAAGGGGUGCUAAUACCGGAUAAGCCCACGAAGACGUGAGUCUUUGCGGGAAAAGGGGGCCUCUGCAUAUGCUCUUGAUCUAAGAUGAGUCUGCGUACCAUUAGCUUGUUGGUAGGGUAAUGGCCUACCAAGGCGACGAUGGUUAGCUGGUCUGAGAGGAUGAUCAGCCACACUGGGACUGAGACACGGCCCAGACUCCUACGGGAGGCAGCAGUGGGGAAUUUUGCGCAAUGGGGGAAACCCUGACGCAGCAACGCCGCGUGAGUGAUGAAGGCUUUCGGGUCGUAAAGCUCUGUCUAGAGGGAAGAAGUGAUAUUUGGUUAAUACCCAGAUUUCUUGACGGUACCUCUGAAGGAAGCAUCGGCUAACUCCGUGCCAGCAGCCGCGGUAAUACGGAGGGUGCAAGCGUUGUUCGGAAUUAUUGGGCGUAAAGCGCGUGUAGGCGGUUUGUUAAGUCUGAUGUGAAAGCCCUGGGCUCAACCUGGGAAGUGCAUUGGAAACUGGCAGACUUGAAUACGGGAGAGGGUAGUGGAAUUCCGAGUGUAGGAGUGAAAUCCGUAGAUAUUCGGAGGAACACCGGUGGCGAAGGCGGCUACCUGGACCGAUAUUGACGCUGAGACGCGAAAGCGUGGGUAGCAAACAGGAUUAGAUACCCUGGUAGUCCACGCCGUAAACGAUGAGUACUAGGUGUUGCG